CAGCUGCCAUGGGAAGCCCCCCUAUCCAGAUUUGUACCCUGUUGGUAGGUAAGAGGGCUCUAGCCCUUUAUGCAGCUUACAACUUGGCUGAACUACAUCCCUUUGAACUCUUUGGAUGCAGCAAUGAUUUUGUUUUGUGUAGGGUUGGCUAGAAGUUCUUAAGCAAAGAGGCAAGCCAACUCUGCCGUAUUUAGGAAUGGUCCAAGAACUCUGAAGGGAAGCAAAACAGAUACCUUCCCAAUCACUUCCCCCCAAAACUGGCCUAAAAUUUGUUGAAAUAUCUGUGCUUAAUUAUUUUUUAAAAAAUAAAUGGCUGCCUAUACCUUUAGAAGGUUUACAUCAGAUCUUCUGAAAUGCUGCCCAGAAUAGAUAAUAGGCUCAACAAAGAUGCUUGCAAGAGCAUGAAAGAGCAUUUAUAUACAUGGGCUUUUCUCAGUAAUGUUUUAAUUUCUUCUCCAGCAGACACCAGCAAUAAUCAACUGCCGUGUGCUCAUUGUAGAAUAAUGAUGAUGAUAAUUACAACUAGUUCUGUGUUCAUUCACUGCAGACCAGAAUUGAUUAAGUAUUUUGAGUUGGAUCUAAAGAUGUACUUUUCACACACAAAAAUGUGUCUUCCGUCUGCAGAAGGGCCAUUUUACACUUAGCACUGUAGCACUGCAUAAGAAAAACAUUUUCUACACAUACUCACACAACCCUCUCUAUCUACGCCAAGCAAGCAAGAGGCAUUAUCAGAGUACAAAGAGAAAUCCCAACCAGGCAAAAAUACUCAGGGCGUGGAGCAGGGCGAUUGAGAGGUAUGGUUUGAGGAAAGUUUCAAGGGCCAUACAAAAAGGCCAAGAGGGCCACCACCAUUUUGUUGUUAUGGAUUUGCAGUGAUCAGUUCCUGGGUGCCAGGUCUUUCCAUAAUCUCUACAUUCAAUGAAGGGUCAGUAUUUGAGCAAAAUCAUAAAUUCCUGAGUUCAGGAAGGGCUGACUUCCUCACGGUGAUGGUGAGACAUUGAAGAAACAAUGGUGCCGAUGGCCAGCCAUUAGCCCCUCAGUGGAAGUCAUCAACCAGGCAGAAGGUUCUGUCAGGCACAGAGGGGCAUUAUCAGGGUAACAGGGAGGCAUGGUGUCACCUCAGGGAAAGUGUCCUUUUACAAACAGAUUUUGGGAGCAGGGAUUUCUGGUGCAGGAAGUAGGCAGAAUUCUAUGCAUGUUGGCUGGGUGAGGUUGCACCAAGAGACCGGAGGUCAUGACUGACUGUUGUUUCUGACCCAAGAUUGCUGAAGCUAUGAGAGGAACCAUGAGAGAGACACUUGGGGUGUGAUGUUCUGCACCCUCUGCAUGGAAGGCUUCAUGGAAGGUGUAAAAUAAACCGCAUUU